GUGGCUUUGGCAGCACGUAUGCUAAAAUCGGUACAGCACAGAGAAAAUUAGUACAGCUCCUGUGCAAGGCUGACAGGCAAAUCCAUGAAGUGGUCCAUAUUUUU